UACGAAGGGGGCUAGCGUUGCUCGGAAUCACUGGGCGUAAAGCGCACGUAGGCGGCUUCUAAGUCGGGGGUGAAAUCCUGGAGCUCAACUCCAGAACUGCCUUCGAUACUGGAGAGCUCGAGUCCGGAAGAGGUUGGUGGAACAGCUAGUGUAAGAGGUGAAAUUCGUAGAUAUUAGCUAGAACACCAGUGGCGAAGGCGGCCAACUGGUCCGACACUGACGCUGAUGCGGCGGAAAGCCAGGGGAGCGAAACGGG
rnacentral:rRNA from 1 species